UGGGGAAUAUUGCACAAUGGGCGCAAGCCUGAUGCAGCAACGCCGCGUGAACGAUGAAGGUCUUCGGAUCGUAAAGUUCUGUUGCAGGGUAAGAUAAUGACGGUACCCUGUGAGGAAGCCCCGGCUAACUACGUGCCAGCAGCCGCGGUAAUACGUAGGGGGCUAGCGUUAUCCGGAUUUACUGGGCGUAAAGGGUGCGUAGGUGGUCUUUCAAGUCGGUGGUUAAAGGCUACGGCUCAACCGUAGUUAGCCUCCGAAACUGGAAGACUUGAGUGCAGGAGAGGAAAGUGGAAUUCCCAGUGUAGCGGUGAAAUGCGUAGAUAUUGGGAGGAACACCAGUAGCGAAGGCGGCUUUCUGGACUGCAACUGACACUGAGGCACGAAAGCGUGGGUAGCAAACAGG
rnacentral:rRNA from 1 species